UCUGGCCAUUUUGAGCGUUUAAUUGACCCCACAAAUGUGAUGCUCCAGAAACUCAAUCUGCUCAAAGGAAGGUCAGUUUUGUAGCUUCUGUAACAAGCUAAACUGUUUUCAGAUGUGUGGACAUGAUUGCACAAGGGUUUUCUAAUCAUCAAUUAGCCUUCUCAGCCAAUGAGCAAACACAUUGUACCAUUAGAACACUGGAGUGAUAGUUGCUGGACAUGGGCCUCUAUGUGGUCCGGAUCAUGUUUUUGUGUUUUCUGUUAGUUUUGGACUUCUUGUGCUAUUGCUUGUGCACCUGUGAGUUUGUUUGGUCACCAUGGUUACUUGAUUUUUCACCUGCCCUGCACGCGCACCUGUUACUCAUCAGAGACUCUAUUUAGUUCUGCCUUUUCCGGUCACUCUGUGUGGAGUCAUUCUUUUUACGUCACACCUAUGCCACUCCAGCUUAUGAACCUCAAACACCAUGAGAGGGGCAUCAAAUCUGCAAACAGAAUCUAAGAUCACAUUCUCGUGAUGAAGGGUCGGGCUCACAAUUUUGCGGAAACACUAGAAGACGAAUCUUGCCGACGUGAAAGACGGCAACUUGUACAAAGGAGCAAGAUUAAAGGAAAUUGAAGGGGAAGCGGAGAGAAGCGGCGUAGGGCAGGCUGGAGACGACGGUGCUGGGACUUGGCGGAAAUGAGCCAGCCUGGCGUGAACUUGCCUUCCAGCCUGGACAGAGGAAACAUGGAAAAUGUCACGGCCAGGGCGCAUUGGAAUGCGCCCUCAUCCUUGCGCUCUGCUUGUCGCACCUCGGGACACGCCCACUACCGUGCACAUCCAGGGACGCACUGCACGCAUCUCCGCCCUGCAGCAGCCGCCAGCUGCAAUCAUUCACCGGCAAUCAGCGCACCUGCCUCUAAUGAUCAAGCUGCCUUCUUAAGCCUGCACAAGCUGCCAUGCCGGGCCGGAAUAUAAUCUUCUGUUGGUGUACAUACCCUCCGUCGUCUUGAAAGUGAGCCGUGCGUCUCACUUUUCUCUGGUUCUCCCUCUGGACUCUUCCCUGCCUCCCUUGCGCUUCCUGAUCCUCGACUCCUCGCUUGCUCCCGGACUCUGACGUCUCUCUCUGCCCCACGGACCUCUCGCGGAUCUUGGACCCCUUUUGCCUUGCCCUCUUUGGAUUUGUCUGCUUCCUCAUCCAACAACACUAGGUAAAACACACUACAGCUAAUCACACACAUAGCUACACACCACAUACACCUUUGGAUCUAGUUCACACUCCAUUUCCUUAGUUUAUA